rnacentral:rRNA from 1 species
CCUACGGGUGGCAGCAGUGGGGAAUAUUGGACAAUGGGGGGAACCCUGAUCCAGCGACGCCGCGUGAGUGAAGAAGUAUUUCGGUAUGUAAAGCUCUAUCAGCAGGGAAGAAAGGAAUGACGGUACCUGACUAAGAAGCCCCGGCUAACUACGUGCCAGCAGCCGCGGUAAUACGUAGGGGGCAAGCGUUAUCCGGAUUUACUGGGUGUAAAGGGAGCGUAGACGGUUACGCAAGUCUGGAGUGAAAGGCGGGGGCCCAACCCCCGGACUGCUUUGGAAACUGUAUAACUGGAGUGCAGGAGAGGUAAGUGGAAUUCCUAGUGUAGCGGUGAAAUGCGUAGAUAUUAGGAGGAACACCAGUGGCGAAGGCGGCUUACUGGACUGUAACUGACGCUGAAGCACGAAAGCGUGGGUAUCGAACAGGAUUAGAUACCCCGGUAGUC